rnacentral:rRNA from 1 species
GACCGUGGAGUGUAUACAAGUGAGGAUGCAGACAUAAGUAACGAUAAGGCCAGUGAAAUCCUGGCCCGCCGUAAACCCAAGGUUUCCUGGGCAACGAUUUUCGUCCCAGGGUUAGUCGGGAGCUAAGUCCAGGCCGAAUGGCGUAGGCGAUGCACAGCUGGCGAAUAUUCCAGCACCGGCUAUGGUUAAACCAUACGUGCACAGGUGGGGAGAGAGCAUGCCGAUUGAAAGUGGCAGAAGGGGGAUGCUUCGGCUGAACCUGGUCUCUUGAACUAACUGUCUAGAAAAGCGUAUGGCCCUUUCCAUAGCCGCCCGUACCGCAAACCGACACAGGUGGGUGGGUAGAGUAUACCAAGGCGUAAGAGUGAAACCUCGUUAAGGAACUCUGCAAUCUAGUCCCGUAACUUCGGAAGAAGGGAUGCCCUAGUUACUAGGGCCGCAGUGAAAGGGGACAACCGACUGUUUAUCAAAAACACAGCACUCUGCCAAGACGAAAGUCCAAGUAUAGGGUGUGACACGUGACCAAUGCCGAAAGAUUAAGGCU